UACAGAGGGUGCAAGCGUUAAUCGGAAUUACUGGGCGUAAAGCGAGCGUAGUCGGUUAUUUAAGUCGGAUGUGAAAGCCCCGGGCUCAACCUGGGAAUGGCAUUUGGGACUGCAAGGCUGGAGUAUGGCAGAGGAGACUAGAAUUCCUGGUGUAGCAGUGAAAUGCGUAGAUAUCAGGAGGAAUACCGAUGGCGAAGGCAGGUCUCUGGGCCAAUACUGACGCUCAUGCACGAAAGCGUGGGGAGCAAACAGG
rnacentral:rRNA from 1 species